rnacentral:lncRNA from 11 species
CACAUAUUUAAAACACAUGGGUGGGAUUUCAGUGAGAAAAGAAAUGAAAAACAGGAAGGGAGCUCAGCAAAGGAGCCAUGUACAAACCAGGAGAAAGGCAUCAAUGCAAAGGAACUCAAAGCAAAGUGGUACCAAGAACAGACUCAGACUGCAUCAGCAUCCCAGGGCUGCGUGUUAGAUAGUGCUGGCGUCACUCUGAGGCUUUGCGAUAAUAGCUCCACAGCAUCCGUAAAUGCAAAUUAGUAUCGUGUCCUGAAAAGAAAAAAAGGAAAGCAAAAACUUUUUUUUUUAAUGCCAACAUCAAAGCUACAGAAUUGCGAGGCGGUGAAGUUUUGAGCGUAAUGUAAUUAGGAAUCGCAUCACGGAUUCAGGUGUCUGGGAUCCCAGGCUCCUCUUGAAUGUUGUUCUAAAUUUCAUUUUUAUGCUCCCUACGGGGAAUUGAAUCGAGUCUGUUGGCAUCAGGUUGCACUGACAUCAGUUUUGUCAUGUGCUUAAAUAAAACAUCCUCCAUAUACUGGUGUUUGAAGUAUUUAUAGGGUCAUGGCCACAUUGUACAAAGGGAGUGAGCAUACAGUCAGCUCUCCACAUUUGCUGGAGUUAGGGCCACAG